CAGCUGGGAGAGCGCCUGCUUUGCACGCAGGAGGUCUGCGGUUCGAUCCCGCAUAGCUCCACCA
rnacentral:tRNA from 1 species